rnacentral:rRNA from 1 species
AGUGAACGCUGGCGGUAGGCCUAACACAUGCAAGUCGAACGGCAGCACAGUAAGAGCUUGCUCUUACGGGUGGCGAGUGGCGGACGGGUGAGGUAUACAUCGGAAUCUACUUUUUCGUGGGGGAUAACGUAGGGAAACUUACGCUAAUACCGCAUACGACCUACGGGUGAAAGCAGGGGAUCUUCGGACCUUGCGCGAUUGAAUGAGCCGAUGUCGUAUUAGCUAGUUGGCGGGGUAAAGGCCCACCAAGGCGACGAUCCGUAGCUGGUCUGAGAGGAUGAUGAGCGACACUGGAACUGAGACACGGUCCAGACUCCUACGGGAGGCAGCAGUGGGGAAUAUUGGACAAUGGGGGCAAGCCUGAUCCAGCCAUACCGCGUGGGUGAAGAAGGCCUUCGGGUUGUAAAGCCCCUUUGUUGGGAAAGAAAAGCAGCAGGUUAAUACCCCGCUGUUCUGACGGUACCCAAAGAAUAAGCACCGGCUAACUUCGUG